GAGCAAUUGAUGCUGAACAGCAGGGAAAAUAGCUACUGGAAAGCAGAGCCCUUUGAGCUUUGAAAAUGUGACAAGCAGAAACAACAUGGAAUGAAUCCAUCCCAAAUGCUAAAAAGCAGCUCUGCAGGUGGAAUGGUCAGUGACUGACAAAGAGAAAUCAGAAGGGAGGAGAAAAUGUUAUCUUUCAUGGCCUGAUUCCAGUUCAUACAGACUCAAGAGUCAGGUUACUGUUUUUCAAAGUGCUCUGACAGAUACAGCUGAUACAGGAAAAUGAGCAGCCAUAUCCCAGCAGAUCUGUGAUAACAGUGGUGCCUGGGAGCCCCUGUCAUUCUCCACUUGCU